rnacentral:rRNA from 1 species
UACGUAGGGGGCAAGCGUUGUUCGGAAUUACUGGGCGUAAAGGGCGCGUAGGCGGCACGGCAAGUCGGGAGUGAAAGCCCGGGGCUCAACCCCGGAGGGUCUUCCGAAACUGCCGGGCUAGAGUGCGGAAGAGGCAACCGGAAUUCCCAGUGUAGCGGUGAAAUGCGUAGAUAUCGGGAGGAACACCAGUGGCGAAGGCGGUUGCCUGGAGCUUUGCUGACGCUGAUGCGCGAAAGCGUGGGGAGCGAUCCGG